AUUGAACGCUGGCGGCAGGCCUAACACAUGCAAGUCGAACGGUAACAGGAAGCAGCUUGCUGCUUUGCUGACGAGUGGCGGACGGGUGAGUAAUGUCUGGGAAACUGCCCGAUGGAGGGGGAUAACUACUGGAAACGGUAGCUAAUACCGCAUAACGUCGCAAGACCAAAGAGGGGGACCUUAGGGCCUCUUGCCAUCGGAUGUGCCCAGAUGGGAUUAGCUAGUAGGUGGGGUAACGGCUCACCUAGGCGACGAUCCCUAGCUGGUCUGAGAGGAUGACCACCCACACUGGAACUGGGCCACGGUCCAUACUCCUACGGGAGGCAGCAGUGGGGAAUAUUGCACAAUGGGCGCAAGCCUGAUGCAGCCAUGCCGCGUGUAUGAAGAAGGCCUUCGGGUUGUAAAGUACUUUCAGCGGGGAGGAAGGGAGUAAAGUUAAUACCUUUGCUCAUUGACGUUACCCGCAGAAGAAGCACCGGCUAACUCCGUG
rnacentral:rRNA from 1 species